rnacentral:rRNA from 1 species
GACGAACGCUGGCGGCGUGCUUAACACAUGCAAGUCGAACGGUGACCCAGGGCUUGCCCUGGUGAUCAGUGGCGAACGGUGAGUAACACGUGGGCAACCUGCCCCUGACUUCGGGAUAACUCCUCGAAAGAGGAGCUAAUACCGGAUACGACCACUUCGGACAUCCGAUGGUGGUGGAAAGUUUUUCGGUCAGGGAUGGGCCCGCGGCCUAUCAGCUAGUUGGUGGGGUAAUGGCCUACCAAGGCGACGACGGGUAGCCGGCCUGAGAGGGCGACCGGCCACACUGGGACUGAGACACGGCCCAGACUCCUACGGGAGGCAGCAGUGGGGAAUAUUGCGCAAUGGGCGAAAGCCUGACGCAGCGACGCCGCGUGAGGGAUGAAGGCCUCGGUUGUAACUCUUUCAGCAGGGACGAAGCGAAAGUAGACGGUACCUGCAGAAGAAGACACCGGCUAACUACGUGCCAGCAGCCGCGGUAAU